GGAGUCGGCCAGGCAGUCGCUGCCGGCGCGCUUGUCGUGCCGGCAGAGGAAAGUCCGGGCUCCACAGGGCAGGGUGACGGUUAACGGCCGUCCGCCGCGAGGCGAGGAACAGGGCCACAGAGACGAGUCCGCUUCAGUCCGGCAACGGAAUGGAGCGGGGUGAAACGCGGCAACCUCCACCCGGAGCAACACCAAAUAGGCAAGCGACGACGUGGCCCGCCGAGCUUGCGGGUAGGUGGCUGGAGCGUGCAGGCAACUGCACGCCAAGAGGAAUGACUGUCACGGCCGCGCAAGCGGCCGACAGAACCCGGCUUAUCGGCCGACUCCCUCU
rnacentral:RNase_P_RNA from 1 species